rnacentral:rRNA from 1 species
GACAGAGGGUGCAAACGUUGUUCGGAUUUACUGGGCGUAAAGCGCGUGUAGGCGGCUUUGCAAGUCGGAUGUGAAAUCCCACGGCUCAACCGUGGAAGUGCAUCCGAAACUGCAUCGCUGGAGUCUCGGAGAGGAAGGUGGAAUGCUUGGUGUAGAGGUGAAAUUCGUAGAUAUCAAGCAGAACACCUGCGGCGAAGGCGGACCUUCUGGACGAUGACUGACGCUGAGACGCGAAAGCGUGGGGAGCAAACAGG